UACGUAGGGUGCGAGCGUUAAUCGGAAUUACUGGGCGUAAAGCGUGCGCAGGCGGUUUUGUAAGUCUGACGUGAAAUCCCCGGGCUUAACCUGGGAAUUGCGUUGGAGACUGCAAGGCUGGAGUCUGGCAGAGGGGGGGUAGAAUUCCGACGUGUAGCAGUGAAAUGCGUAGAGAUGUGGAGGAACACCGAUGGCGAAGGCAGCCCCCUGGGUCAAGACUGACGCUCAUGCACGAAAGCGUGGGGAGCAAACAGGG
rnacentral:rRNA from 1 species